rnacentral:rRNA from 1 species
UAGAGUUUGAUCCUGGCUCAGAGCGAACGCUGGCGGCAGGCCUAACACAUGCAAGUCGAGCGCUCGUGGCAACACGGGAGCGGCAGACGGGUGAGUAACACGUGGGAACGUGCCCUUCGGUUCGGAAUAACCCAGGGAAACUUGGAUUAAUACCGGAUACGUCCGCAAGGAGAAAGAUUUAUCGCCGAAGGAGCGGCCCGCGUCCGAUUAGCUUGUUGGUGAGGUAAUGGCUUACCAAGGCGACGAUCGGUAGCUGGUCUGAGAGGAUGAUCAGCCACACUGGGACUGAGACACGGCCCAGACUCCUACGGGAGGCAGCAGUGGGGAAUAUUGGACAAUGGGCGCAAGCCUGAUCCAGCCAUGCCGCGUGAGUGAUGAAGGCCCUAGGGUUGUAAAGCUCUUUCGGCGGGGAAGAUAAUGACGGUACCCG